UUUAGUGGCGGACGGGUGAGUAACACGUGAGCAACCUGCCUUCGAGAGGGGAAUAACGGCUGGAAACGGUCGCUAAUACCGCAUAACAUACGGGAGGGACAUCCCUUUUGUAUCAAAGAUUUAUCGCUCGAAGAUGGGCUCGCGUCCGAUUAGGUAGUUGGUGAGGUAACGGCCCACCAAGCCGACGAUCGGUAGCCGGACUGAGAGGUUGAACGGCCACAUUGGGACUGAGACACGGCCCAGACUCCUACGGAAGGCAGCAG
rnacentral:rRNA from 1 species